UUUGAAUAUCUUUAAAAACCCUAGAGAACUAUUCCUGAAUUCCCUUAAAGAAAUGACAAGAAAGUUUUCUAAGAGCAUUCAGACUGUGUUGAAGAAAAAAUAUGUACAUACACAAGACUUCCAAGUUUGUUUGAACUGUAUAGACUCUGCCUCAUAUAUUGUUUUUCCAUGUCCCAUGCUUGCACAUCUUAUUCAGCAUUUUCCUAGAGGUGUCUCCAGAUUUUGAAUAGCACUGACUGACACAAAAGCCGGAACAGACUACAGAACAACUAGAAUGGAAGACACAAAAUAAAAUAUGUCUGUGUGUCUGUAUGAGCUGUUAUUUGCAAAAGAUGGACAAGCAGAAAAGAAAAGAUAAAAUAAAUGAAUAAACAGAUAGACAAAUUGCAAUAUUGGAAAUUUUCCAUGCAGAUGUAACCAGAUGCUUUCUACUGUAUAUCAGUAGGAUUAUAUAUGCAUACACGGUUAACAUAACAGCAAUCAAAAGGUACUGUGAUUAGAAAAGUCUUCUUGAAAGUUUAAGGUACAAGUGCUGGAAUGACACAUGAUAACAUUAGAAGCUCCAAUAUCACCUAAGAAGUUCACCCAGGUCAGUAAUAUUUUCAUGUUCAAUAAAUGUGAACAUUUUGAUGGACUGGUGUAUGCAGCUUUUAGUCGCCCAAAGACCCUUAGCAGGAUGCUUGCUUUUUAGGGAGUAAGCUGUCUGGCGACUUUGAUAUUUAGUUUAGUUGAGAGGAUAGAAACAGUGACCUGGUCUGACUUCCCAACUCCUGAAGGUUCCCGAGAGCUCCAGGUUCACAUUACUCACAGACUGUCAGAUCAAAAUAAGAGUGAAAGAAAAAAAAAUAAAAACACAGGAACAAACCUACACACACACAAAGAAAAAAUAAGUCUGCAUACCAAAAUCAUGAAAAGAGGAAAAUGAGAAGUGGAAUUUAUAUGCACUAUAAUACAUCACAAAAAAGGCUAGAAGUGUAUCAUCAAUAGCACAUUAAAAUAAAAAAUGAAAGUCAUCAGCUACAGCUUCCUCUCAUAGCUUGUGCAUGCUAAGCUAUAAUAAAUCAGCUCUAAGUGUGAAUAUGAGCUUGAGUAGUUUUCUGUCUUCCUGCGUAAGCCUCUCGUUCAGUGACAGCUACACUUCAGUGCCCCCUUUAAACUGAAUUGGACAUGUGAUAAAUGAAUGGAUGGACGGAUCACGGGAAAAAACACAACAACAAAAAAAACUCUUCACUUGCUUCUCCACUCAGUGAAAGCCAAACAGGUAAACAAACAGUUUUCAAACUGAGUGAUUUUUUUUUCAUGGAUUAACAUGAAAACUCUUUAGCUAAUUCGCAGAUUAUUUGUGAGCCCCUGCAAUUAUUUCUUAAAAGAGCUCCAAUUUAUUUAUUUUUUGCUGCAGAGGAUGCUAAAUGUGCUGAAGCAUUUUUUUCAUAUAGACUCAUCAUUUUGCGUGUGCACUUGUACAUCUUCAAUCAGCCAUGUAUAGAUCCCCAC
ensembl:lncRNA